rnacentral:lncRNA from 1 species
AGAGACGCUCCUCACUUUCCAGACUGGGCAGCCCGGCAGAGGGGCUCCUCACAUCCCAGACGAUGGGCGGCCAGGCAGAGACGAUCCUCAAACUCAAACUUGCAGAUGCAUAGCCUUUGCUAUUUCCAGUCCUUUUACUUCUGAACAGUCUGAACCAUGUAACAGUGCCAAACUGGGAGAAAUACGAAAAGAUCUGGGUUUCAUUAAGUAGGUGGCACACAAAGACUACUCUAGGAGUAAGUUGUUCUUGUUCUUUUUGCUGGGUUGUGCACUUGCAAACCUCUACCACCUCCUUUUGAAACUCGACAUCUUCCUGCGGGUUAAGUGACAGGAUUGGCCCAGCUGGUACAGAAAAGGCUGCCAUGCCAAAAGCGGCCAUCACUAACUCUACGAGGCACUCCUAGAAACGUCAGGUUCUCAGCUCCCCAACAAAUUUUUUUGAUCGUAAUAUAUAUGUUGCCUUCAUAGGAGUCCCUAGAGGGGAUGCCUAAUGAAUUUAAGGCCUGAAACCA